AGGUAUAACAUGGUAUAAUAGGUUAUCAUGAUAGUGGUGCAUGUCCGUUUCCAAUGGAUGCUGUGAAGUAAUGAUUAAUUUCAACAAGAUGUGAGACCCUCAUUUAGACAGAUGUAGUGAUACAUAUGAAGGAGAGGAUUAAAACAGGUCCGUUAUGCCCUAAGAUAAUCUGGUUUGCACGCGCAAUACAAUAAUAUUUGAUAUUAUAAGGGAUAAUAUAAUGUAAGAUAUAUUUGAACAUGGAAUUGCUAGUAAAUUUUAUUUAAUAAGUAGAAUUGAAUGAGUCCCUGUUCUUUGUACACACCGCCCGUCGCUAUCUAAGAUGGUAUUAUCUAUGAACAAAUUUAUAAAGUGAAUAGAUAGUACUAGAUCUGAUAUAAGUCGUAACAUGGUUGCUGUUGGAGAACCAUUAGCAGGAUCAUAA
rnacentral:ncRNA from 1 species